CCUACGGGAGACAGCAGUGAGGAAUAUUGGUCAAUGGACGAGAGUCUGAACCAGCCAAGUAGCGUGAAGGAUGACUGCCCUAUGGUUUGUAAACUUCUUUUAUAUGGGAAUAAAACAGGGUAUGCAUACCCUCUUGUAUGUACCAUAUCAUUCAAGAUCGUCUAACUCCGUUCCAGCAGCCGCGGUAAUACGGAGGGUCCGAGCGGUAUCCGGAUUUAUUGGGUUUAAAGGGAGCGUAGGUGGAUUGUUAAGUCAGUUGUGAAAGUUUGCGGAUCAACCGUAAAAUUGCAGUUGAAACUGGCAGUCUAGAGUACAGUAGAGGUGGGCGGAAGUCGUGGUGUAGCGGUGAAAUGCGUAGAUAUCAGGAAGAACUCCGAUUGCGAAGGCAGCUGACUGGACUGCAACUGACACUGAUGCUCGAAAGUGUGGGUAUCAAACAGGAUUAGAUACCCGGGUAGUC
rnacentral:rRNA from 1 species